rnacentral:lncRNA from 1 species
ACAUGCAUCGAUCGUGGACAACUACCCUUGGAGCACCCGCAGGCUCCAGUGUCACCCCCUGGGGUUAGCGACGGUAGUGCAAGGCCCAUCGGUAGGAUGCGCACGAGGUGGGAUGUGAGUCUCGAUCACACCACAAGGGGCUGGAUCCGAAUGCAUCCAGUAGCCAGUGUGCGGACGGUGGGGCUCGGCCUUAAUGUGGUGGAUGGGCAGCCGG